rnacentral:rRNA from 1 species
AAAUUGAAGAGUUUGAUCAUGGCUCAGAUUGAACGCUGGCGGCAGGCCUAACACAUGCAAGUCGAACGGUAGCACAGAGAGCUUGCUCUCGGGUGACGAGUGGCGGACGGGUGAGUAAUGUCUGGGAAACUGCCUGAUGGAGGGGGAUAACUACUGGAAACGGUAGCUAAUACCGCAUAACGUCGCAAGACCAAAGAGGGGGACCUUCGGGCCUCUUGCCAUCAGAUGUGCCCAGAUGGGAUUAGCUAGUAGGUGGGGUAACGGCUCACCUAGGCGACGAUCCCUAGCUGGUCUGAGAGGAUGACCAGCCACACUGGAACUGAGACACGGUCCAGACUCCUACGGGAGGCAGCAGUGGGGAAUAUUGCACAAUGGGCGCAAGCCUGAUGCAGCCAUGCCGCGUGUAUGAAGAAGGCCUUCGGGUUGUAAAGUACUUUCAGCGGGGAGGAAGGUGUUGCGGUUAAUAACCGCAGCAAUUGACGUUACCCGCAGAAGAAGCACCGGCUAACUCCGUGCCAGCAGCCGCGGUAAUACGGAGGGUGCAAGCGUUAAUCGGAAUUACUGGGCGUAAAGCGCACGCAGGCGGUCUGUCAAGUCGGAUGUGAAAUCCCCGGGCUCAACCUGGGAACUGCAUUCGAAACUGGCAGGCUAGAGUCUUGUAGAGGGGGUAGAAUUCCAGGUGUAGCGGUGAAAUGCGUAGAGAUCUGGAGGAAUACCGGUGGCGAAGGCGGCCCCUGGACAAAGACUGACGCUCAGGUGCGAAAGCGUGGGGAGCAAACAGGAUUAGAUACCCUGGUAGUCCACGCCGUAAACGAUGUCGACUUGGAGGUUGUGCCCUUGAGGCGUGGCUUCCGGAGCUAACGCGUUAAGUCGACCGCCUGGGGAGUACGGCCGCAAGGUUAAAACUCAAAUGAAUUGACGGGGGCCCGCACAAGCGGUGGAGCAUGUGGUUUAAUUCGAUGCAACGCGAAGAACCUUACCUACUCUUGACAUCCAGAGAACUUAGCAGAGAUGCUUUGGUGCCUUCGGGAACUCUGAGACAGGUGCUGCAUGGCUGUCGUCAGCUCGUGUUGUGAAAUGUUGGGUUAAGUCCCGCAACGAGCGCAACCCUUAUCCUUUGUUGCCAGCGGUCCGGCCGGGAACUCAAAGGAGACUGCCAGUGAUAAACUGGAGGAAGGUGGGGAUGACGUCAAGUCAUCAUGGCCCUUACGAGUAGGGCUACACACGUGCUACAAUGGCGCAUACAAAGAGAAGCGAACUCGCGAGAGCAAGCGGACCUCAUAAAGUGCGUCGUAGUCCGGAUUGGAGUCUGCAACUCGACUCCAUGAAGUCGGAAUCGCUAGUAAUCGUAGAUCAGAAUGCUACGGUGAAUACGUUCCCGGGCCUUGUACACACCGCCCGUCACACCAUGGGAGUGGGUUGCAAAAGAAGUAGGUAGCUUAACCUUCGGGAGGGCGCUUACCACUUUGUGAUUCAUGACUGGGGUGAAGUCGUAACAAGGUAACCGUAGGGGAACCUGCGGUUGGAUCACCUCCUUA